rnacentral:rRNA from 1 species
AAGGCGAAAAGAACCCCGGCGAGGGGAGUGAAAAAGAACCUGAAACCGUGUACGUACAAGCAGUGGGAGCACAGGUUUACCUGUGUGACUGCGUACCUUUUGUAUAAUGGGUCAGCGACUUAUAUUCUGUAGCAAGGUUAACCGAAUAGGGGAGCCGGAGGGAAACCGAGUCUUAACCGGGCGUUAAGUUGCAGGGUAUAGACCCGAAACCCGGUGAUCUAGCCAUGGGCAGGUUGAAGGUUGGGUAACACUAACUGGAGGACCGAACCGACUAAUGUUGAAAAAUUAGCGGAUGACCUGUGGCUGGGGGUGAAAGGCCAAUCAAACCGGGAGAUAGCUGGUUCUCCCCGAAAGCUAUUUAGGUAGCGCCUCGUGAACUCAUCUCCGGGGGUAGAGCACUGUUUCGGCUAGGGGGCCAUCCCGGCUUACCAACCCGAUGCAAACUGCGAAUACCGGAGAAUGUUAUCACGGGAGACACACGGCGGGUGCUAACGUCCGUCGUGAAGAGGGAAACAACCCAGACCGCCAGCUAAGGUCCCAAAGUCAUGGUUAAGUGGGAAACGAUGUGGGAAGGCCCAGACAGCCAGGAUGUUGGCUUAGAAGCAGCCAUCAUUUAAAGAAAGCGUAAUAGCUCACUGGUCGAGUCGGCCUGCGCGGAAGAUGUAACGGGGCUAAACCAUGCACCGAAGCUGCGGCAGCGACGCUGAUGCGUUGUUGGGUAGGGGAGCGUUCUGUAAGCCUGCGAAGGUGGCCUGUGAGGGUUGCUGGAGGUAUCAGAAGUGCGAAUGCUGACAUAAGUAACGAUAAAGCGGGUGAAAAGCCCGCUCGCCGGAAGACCAAGGGUUCCUGUCCAACGUUAAUCGGGGCAGGGUGAGUCGACCCCUAAGGCGAGGCCGAAAGGCGUAGUCGAUGGGAAACGGGUUAAUAUUCCCGUACUUGGUGUUACUGCGAAGGGGGGACGGAGAAGGCUAUGUUGGCCGGGCGACGGUUGUCCCGGUUUAAGCGUGUAGGUGUGUGUUCCAGGUAAAUCCGGUUCACUUUAACACUGAGGCGUGAUGACGAGGCACUACGGUGCUGAAGCAACAAAUGCCCUGCUUCCAGGAAAAGCCUCUAAGCAUCAGGUAACAUCAAAUCGUACCCCAAACCGACACAGGUGGUCAGGUAGAGAAUACCAAGGCGCUUGAGAGAACUCGGGUGAAGGAACUAGGCAAAAUGGUGCCGUAACUUCGGGAG